GGGACCCUAGUCUAACACAACACAUAGCACUGUCAGCGCUAAAUUAAAGGUAAAAUCCUUUGUGUCCCC